rnacentral:rRNA from 1 species
UACGUAGGGUGCGAGCGUUGUCCGGAAUUAUUGGGCGUAAAGGGCUCGUAGGCGGUCUGUCACGUCGGGUGUGAAAACCCGGGGCUUAACCCCGUGCCUGCUUCCGAUACGGGCAGACUAGAGGUAUGCAGGGGAGAACGGAAUUCCUGGUGUAGCGGUGAAAUGCGCAGAUAUCAGGAGGAACACCGGUGGCGAAGGCGGUUCUCUGGGCAUUACCUGACGCUGAGGAGCGAAAGUGUGGGGAGCGAACAGG